UGGCGGUCCGCACUGGCGGGUGCCCUCUCCCGAGGGGAACUGAGGCGGGGCGCCUGCCACCAUUCGUGAUUUUCCGUGACUCACCCUCUCAACAGUGUCCCGUCAGCCCCCGCUUUCUGGAAUUAAGAUGAUUUUCCAUGGGCAUUAUAGUCAGAGGAGGUUUUCUGUGAGACAUCUGGGAAAGGUGACUCAAUGAUCACUCAUAUUGUUCUAUGAUGUUAUACAUUUAACCGGAAUACUGGUGAACAGCUUUUAUAUCUUGGAAUUUUUUCCCAUUUUUGAAUCAGAAAUUUAGGACCAAGAAUCUUCUGUCACAGAACCUAUUACUUUGAGGAGUGAACUUAUAUUAACGGUGCUAAACCGUACAUGAACGACUUGGUAGAUGAAAACUUUGGAAAAUAGGAACAUUUCAUGUCAUCACAUGUAUCCUCCAGCAUUGGGGAAAAUUCAACAGUUGCCUUAAGGCGGGAGUUUAAUUGAGGACAUUUACUAAAAAGUUACUUAUUCUGUUUGAAAUUCUCUUCUGAUAAACAUCUUCCCGGGAUAACGAACAUCUCCAGGAUGUGAGAGCCGAGCGCGUGUCCGCGGAGUGCUUGAGCAACGCAGAAUGGCUUCGGUGCUGCGUUCCUUAGACCCCGUGCGGACCCUGCUGAGCCCUCAGCAUCUGGUAUAGAUGAAAGGAUUCAGCAUCGGAGCCACCAUUGAAUACAUGAUGGUUGACAGAGUGUCGCUCUCAGGCAUAUGGGGGGAUGAAGGGCUGAAAUAGACGGCGAUGGCUGUGCCGUAAAACAACACCACCACUGACAGGUGGCAGCUGCAGGUGGAAACAGCUCUCUGCUUGCCCUGAGUAGAGGUGAUCUUCAGAACAGUGGAGAAGAUAAGUCCAUAAGAUACGAGGAUACAGACAAGGGGCGUGAGAGCCAAUAGACCUCCUACUGCAAAAAUGAUCAUUACAUUGAAGGAGACGUCAGAGCAAGAGAGCUGCAGGAGAGGAUUGAGAUCACAGAAGAAAUGAUGGAUGAUAUUGGAGGCACAGAAGGACAGCUGUGCUAUUAGGACAGUAUGCAGGAGGGCGUGGAGCACAUCAUCUUAAUUUCAAAAUUUUCUCAACUAGGAUUUGGAAAAAGUUAGUCCACCAUUGAAAUGCUUAACAGCUUCGUCAAAAAACUUCCAUGCAUUACAACUCAAAGGAUUAUACAUUAGGUAUGUCUUCACUAAAACAAAGAAAAAAAUGUAUGAAUACAUACCCUUUUCUGAGACCUUUGCCACCUAUGACUUUUCUCUUUCCUGAAUAUCCAAUCACAAAAGCAUAGAUGGACCUAUGCAUUGAUUCAGAUUUCUAGUCAAGAGUGAAAAAGAGAAGAAUGAGAUAUAGACAAGUGUGUUUCUUUCGACAGAGAAUAACAGUAUCUCACGGGGGUGCUUGGGUGAAUGAAUGAUACAAAAAGAUGGGAAACUGAAGCCACAAUUUUACAAACCUAUCUAUUCCAUCUCCAUAAAACUUGCAGCUUAUCCUGUCUCCCUAGUGCUAAAGAGAGAUACAGUGAUAUAAACAACCACUUUUGGAGUAAGACACAUUUUGGUUCAAAUCUUCAUUUGUAAAUUAAUUAAUAGUUGCUUGACCUUGCACAAGGUAUUAUAUUUUGUAUGUUUUAGUUUUUCAUCUAUAAAAAUACAAAUACUACUUAUCUCAUUUAGUUGCUAUAAAAACUAUAAUAUUUAUAUAAAAACCUUGAAUUGUGCAUAGACCCAGAGGUUAUCCUGAAGCUUCUGAUCAUCUAAUGAAUUAAUGGCUGGGAUAAUCAAAUAUGUGCCAAUAAAAAUGAAAACCAAAA
ensembl:lncRNA novel transcript, antisense to OR13G1, OR6F1 and OR14A2